AGAGUUUGAUCAUGGCUCAGAUUGAACGCUGGUGGCAGGCCUAACACAUGCAAGUCGAGCGGUAGCACAAGAGAGCUUGCUCUCUGGGUGACGAGCGGCGGACGGGUGAGUAAUGUCUGGGAAACUGCCUGAUGGAGGGGGAUAACUACUGGAAACGGUAGCUAAUACCGCAUAACGUCUUCGGACCAAAGUGGGGGACCUUCGGGCCUCACGCCAUCAGAUGUGCCCAGAUGGGAUUAGCUAGUAGGUGGGGUAAUGGCUCACCUAGGCGAUGAUCCCUAGCUGGUCUGAGAGGAUGACCAGCCACACUGGAACUGAGACACGGUCCAGACUCCUACGGGAGGCAGCAGUGGGGAAUAUUGCACAAUGGGCGCAAGCCUGAUGCAGCCAUGCCGCGUGUGUGAAGAAGGCCUUCGGGUUGUAAAGCACUUUCAGCGAGGAGGAAGGGUAGUGUGUUAAUAGCACAUUGCAUUGACGUUACUCGCAGAAGAAGCACCGGCUAACUCCGUGCCAGCAGCCGCGGUAAUACGGAGGGUGCAAGUGUUAAUCGGAAUUACUGGGCGUAAAGCGCACGCAGGCGGUUUGUUAAGUCAGAUGUGAAAUCCCUGCGCUUAACGUGGGAACUGCAUUUGAAACUGGCAAGCUAGAGUCUUGUAGAGGGGGGUAGAAUUCCAGGUGUAGCGGUGAAAUGCGUAGAGAUCUGGAGGAAUACCGGUGGCGAAGGCGGCCCCCUGGACAAAGACUGACGCUCAGGUGCGAAAGCGUGGGGAGCAAACAGGAUUAGAUACCCCGGUAGUCC
rnacentral:rRNA from 1 species